AAUUUAUACCAGUGUUGAAACAUAUGGCUGGUUAGAGAAAUGGGGAAUUGUCUGAGACAAUAAAGGUUGUUGAUAACUUUGCUCUGGAGGUCCAUGUUGUACAUCAGUUGAUUGUAGUCCAGUAGUCAUCAUUUGAUUGCUCGAAGUUAGGACAUAACUUCCACUGUCCACAUUUUCUCUUUGGCCAUUGCUAAAUACACUCGACGGCUACAAAAUUAUAAGAUUAGUACAUAUUGAAUGGUAUGUCAUUAGUUAUAUGCAUUAUUUUAGUGGAACAAGUGUUAUAAGUAUAGUAGUGUUCUUACCAUGUCAUUAAAGUUUUCUGCAGUGGUCAAAUACUUAGAAUAGUCGUCAUCUUGAUGAAAGCUUUGAUUGUGUGCUACUAUGGCUGUCUCUUGAUCAAAGCUUGAUGAAGUUCUUGUCAAUGUCUCUUGAUCGGUGUUUGAAUUCUCUAUUAGUGGUGAAGGAAACACAUCACUUGUGGCGGCAGAGACAGGGUUAUAUCCAACAAGGUCAUUGUGUUCAUUUUCUGAAACCAGCAACGAAGCAUUUCCUCCACACUCCUAUUCACAUUAUACGUUAACAAUAUUAUUAUAUACGUAAACUACUAUUCUACUUUGUUUAAAUGCGACUUUUUUUAAAAACAACCAUUUACAUGAAAAGUAACAGAAUGAGAAAACAAGAACAAGAGGUAUAUUAAUUGGCCAACAAAAUGUAGUUAGUCAAAGCAAAAACCGUUUGAUGAGACCAGUGGAUAUAGCAAAGUUUUUGACCGGACAUAUGUAUAUUUAAU
rnacentral:sRNA from 1 species